GACUCUCGGCAACGAUAUCUCGCUCUCGCAUCGAUGAAGAACGUAGCGAAAUGCGUACUUGUGUGAAUUGCAGAAAUCCCGUGAACCAUCGAGUCUUGAACGCAAGUUGCGCCCGAAGCCGUUAGGCCGAGGGCACGCCUGCCUGGGCGUCA
rnacentral:rRNA from 1 species